rnacentral:rRNA from 1 species
UACGUAGGGUGCGAGCGUUGUCCGGAAUUACUGGGCGUAAAGAGCUCGUAGGUGGUUUGUCGCGUUGUCCGUGAAAACUCACAACUCAAUUGUGGGCGUGCGGGCGAUACGGCAGACUGGAGUACUGCAGGGGAGACUGGAAUUCCUGGUGUAGCGGUGGAAUGCGCAGAGUAUCAGGAGGAACACCGGUGGCGAAGGCGGGUCUCUGGGCAGUAACUGACGCUGAGGAGCGAAAGCGUGGGGAGCGAACAGG